ensembl:lncRNA
AAUUAACACAUUAUAAAUAAACUGUACUUCAAUUAAAAAAAAAAAGUAAUGCCAAAGUUUCACACAUCCCUUUCAUUCCAUUCCACUGGUGAAAAAUGUGGUCACACUUAGUGGCAAAGAAGACCAGGAAAGAUGGUUCUUAGUUGGGUGGACUUGUGCCGUUACUAAAAAGUUCCAUUACUAAAAAGAUAAAGGGCAUGACGGUUAUGGGAGACCACAGCUUCUGUCACACACUCCUAAGAGUCACCAGGAGUCUGCCCUCAGGGGCUGACUCUAUGCUUGGGGGUGUGGGAGGCUUGGCUACAUAGGGACUGUAUUUCAGGUAUCUGCCAUUCUCUGCAGUGAACUACCCCAAAUUUAGUGGCUUAAAAUGACAACCAUUUUCCUGGCUCAUGAUUUUGCUGGUCAACAAUGUGGCUGGGUUCAUUGGGAACCCUGCCGGUGGUAUUGCCUGGGGUCUCUCACACAGCUGCAGUCAUCUGGUGGUCUGAUUCGGGCUGGAUAGGCUCAGAGGUCUUCACACACGCAACUAGCAGUUGUCAAUCUUCAGGCUCGCUCACAUCCUCGUUUCCACUCCAACCACAACAGAGAGAGGGCAAACCUCACACAAAGGAGGGUUUCAAGCCUCUGCUUGCAUCACAUUUGCGAAUGGCCCACUGGCCUAACAGGGCACGUCUCCAAGCUGGGAUUCCAGGAGAGGAGAGAGGACAUCACUUCUUGAUGAGAAAAGCAGUGAUGUGAUAUCACUAAGGAGCAUGGGAGGGAUGGUUCAUCACAUCGUCACAAAGAGCCUUCCAUGGGAACCUCAGCUUCCACCUACAGGAAGAGGAAUGUCCACCAUCAUUCAGGCUCUUGUCGGGUCCCAAGGGAAAAUAAUCCCGCCAGUGCCCCAGGGAAAGAGUUCUCUUUUUCAGGCUUCACCCUGCAUCUGAAAGGCUGCCAGGAACCAAAGCAGUCCCCAGAAGCAGAAGGUCUUCCUCUGUCUCUCCGCUGAGCUGCAAGGUCUCCCUCAUGGCACAUCCUCCCCCUCUGUGUCUGUUCCAUCCUCCUCUCUGCUAAUUGCUUUAUUUCUCUUUACUUCUGGCACCUGCUCCCUCACAAUUUCUGCUGGCCCCAGGCAUCAACCUAUGGCACCCUUUCACCUUCUGGCCCAGCUGUUAACCAGCUCAACCUCUCCAUGUUUCCCCUGUUCCAAUUCCAGAAAGUAUCACCUUGAUUAGCUGGCUCCCAUCCUCAAUCUGGACCACACUGAGGUGGGCAGGUCAGCCUAUGGAUUGGCUGUCUGGAGCUCAGGUGCCCACGUCUCAUCCAAUCACCUGGGGAAGAGAGGAAGCACUACUGUAGGUCAAUCUGUGAAUCUGAAAAAAAGAUACAGCUGUGUCCUAAUCAUCAGAACCUGUGAAUGUGACUAUUUGGGAAAAAAAGGUCUUUGUAUUAAUAGAUAUGGUUGAGAUAAAAUUAUCCUGGAUUAUUCAAACGGGUCCUAAAUUUAAAAACAUGUCCUUCUAAGAGAUGUGUAGAGAGGAGGCUGUGGGAAGAUGGAGGGGGAGGCUGGUAUCAUGCGGCCACAGCCAAGAAAUAGCUGGCACCGCCAGAAGCUAGAGGACCCAAGAACUGUCCCUACGGCACCUGGAGGGAGUGCAGCCCUGACGACACCUUCAUUUCAGAACUUGAGCCUCCACAACUAAAUGAAUUUGUUAUUGCAAGCCACCAAGUUUGUGGUAAUUUGUUACAGCAGUCUAAGAAACUAAUACAAGCAUAUUGCUCAAAAUAUAGGUCCCGGGCAGCAGGGCCCCUUGGCAAGACACUUUUCCUGUGCUGACAUAAAGGCCACAUAAGCAUACACCUCAUUCCCCACCUGUCAGGAAGCAUUUAACAGGAGGCUUCCUGUGUGCUGUUUUGGAUCUGUCAGGAAUUCUCUGUUCAUUAUUAAUUCCUGAAUAUUUGGGAAUUAAG